rnacentral:rRNA from 1 species
GGGCGUGCCUUGGUACAUGGUGCUGCAUGUCUGUCGUUUGACUCGGUGCCGUUGGUGGACGCACUGGAGGUGUCUAGAAGGGGCCGUUGGUGAACGAUACGUGUGAGUUUAGUACCUGUACCGGAGAGGAGGCUCGCCUCGGAGGUCACUCGUCCUGCCGUAGGGGCAGCAGCUGGACCGGCAGGAGGAGUUGCCGCUGCGGCCGCUUGCCAGCGUCCGCUAGGCCGUGGAGCCGGCCCGCACGGUUGUGACCCCGAAGAAGUACCACUGGUUGGUACCCCACGGGCUCCGAGAGGUCUCGCGCUACUACCUGCGCACGUCCCUCGACAAGCCGGAUGGUGGCCUCCUUUUACGCCUCAAGUACCUGCGGCCGGGGUACCUGGGGCACGCGCAGCCGUGCCCGAAGUUGAGGCGGCAGCUGCCGCGGUCCAUGACCGCCCUGAUGCAGUUCUACAAGCGCGUGGGGCUCGAGGUGACGGGGCGGUUCGGGCUGCGGGACGCCCCGCACCGGCGCCUCAUGCGCCGCGCGUGGUCCCGGGACGACGACCUGGAGUGCCGCCGGUAGAGGCUCUCGGACCCCGAGGUGCGGCCGGCGCAGCGACUCGCGGAGCUGGACCCCAGGACGAAGGUCUAGGAGCAGCCGUUGGUAAUGGGCGGCACGCGACGGCCGGGCCCGCUGCUGCUGCUACCCCGACAGCCCGACGGCCGAGUGAGACUGGUGCCGGAGGAGUGAGACGAGACGGUCUUGCCGCAGCUACCGGAGGUCCAGUUCGUGCUGCCGGCCACCGAGGAGCGGUUCGGGUAGGGGCCGCGUAAGAAGCAGUAGCGCCCGCUAGUCGAGCUCUAACACUCGUUACCUUCCAUAUUCCCGCACGAGGUGGCGCGUAACCAGCUGGCGCUCGUCCGCUCCUACAGCACGCACUCGGAGUAGCCCGGCACGGACCUGCGGCAGCAGCUCGGUCACGGCCUCGACCGGCACGGUGGGGACCCAGAGCCGGAGCUCAAGUCCCCCCAGUUCAUGUCCCUGAUGUACCUUGUGGUCGUCUCGUUGUUCGAGUUGCUGUUCCCUCGUGACCUGGAGCAAGCCCACGUCUUUGCGGGUCGUUAAGAAAUAUGGAUUAAAUAUGAUCUCGUACUAAGGAGUCCAAUUUUAAGAGUUCAACUGGUUUUUAAGGCACAGGUAUAAACAAAAUAAAAUCGUUGGCUGGUCUGGAGACCGAAAAGUAGUAAUUAUUCUUAACGCUCUUAACUGUCAUGAUAGUUCUCGUCGCAUGGGGAACCGGAGAGAGCGUUGACGGCCCCUUUGGGCCUAAAGAAACGGAGGGCAGGCGUGGUGGCAGCUAGGCGGAGCAGACCACAAUAGUUCCGGUGCCUCCGCGUCACCUAGAGCCGGGAACGGCCGCCCACCAAAGAGAAAAGACGAAAAAUCAAAAAAUCCAGCUAAACCUAACCACAAGACGAAUCUUUCUGCUCCGCCACUGCCGAUGGACUUCUACCUUAUAUUAGGAGGAGUAGAGCUAGUGCAGGAUUGUCGCACAGAUCACAACAGUUUCCCGCACAACCCCACAGAGGGACUAUCUAGUGCACCAUAAGAUAGCCACAACCAGAAGUUGUCUAAAAGCACUUAGGUCAGAAGCAAGCACAUAGAAAUGUAACCUAGGAAAGUUAGAUGUAAAGAGAAGUAGCCACCCGCCAACUACAAGCCCACCCUUUAAAGAUAAACGGCGAGCAACGCCGUUCAUCAGAUCCGUUUUAAAAGAUAAACGGCGAGCAACGCCGUUCAUCAGAUCCGUUGCGUGUCCCCGUGUAGCUCCUCGCAACCUUUCCCGGCCGGACAAGUUUGUUAACUCGCUAAGGCCAAAACCCCUUAGAAGAUCCACCAAAAGUCGGUAAAAAAAGGAGCAAAACCCUUGGAAGAUCUUCCAAGGACUUGACCGAAAAGAUAAAGGGGAAAAGGAAAACAGAAAGAAAAAAACAAAGAAAGAAAAACGCAAAAUUAAAAACGAAAAGAUAGAAGAAAAGAAAAGUAUCGUGAAAUAAAAAAAAUAAAAAGUACAAAGCAAAUAAACUUUCGAAGUUUAUAAAUAAAUCUUAAAAUAUUGUACAAGAGCAAGAGUUUUAAACGAG